GGACCAGGCAGGAAGAGUCCUAUUUGGGCAGGGAAAGGCAGAGAGGCCUACUUCUCAGCCCAAAACUAGCACGGGGAGGGCAGUUCCAGCCCACAUCUGUUGUCAUCUAGUUUCUGUAGUCUGUGCGCCACAUCUUAAGUUUUCUGCAGGUCUUGAUGUCCUCUUUGCACUCAAGGCAUGCCGGACAUGCCUUGGGCACCGUGUCUAGGGUCCCGAAUGCUUGUACUCAUCAAAGCAGUGUCAAUCGGGCACUGCUCUUCUUGCAUCGCAAUCCUAAAGCAUGGAUUGGUCUUGUGUUUGGGAAGUUUCGGAUCAGAUGUCUCUUACGCUGCGGCCUUGCAGCCUGUGUCGGCAUCCAUGUUUGUUAGUCAUCCAUUUUCUUGGAUCCCUGUUCUGGGACUUGUUCGGUGCAUCCUCUGCACCUCUAGGUCUUUCAGCGGGGCUUCCUGUUAUCUUGUUUCUGUAGUCUGUGCGCCACGUCUUCAGUUUUCUGCAGGUCUUGAUGUCCUCUUUGCACUCAAGGCAUGCCAGACAUGCCUUGGGCACCGUGUCUAGGGUCCUGAAUGCAUGUACUCAUCAAUGCAGUCUCGAUCGGGCACUGCUCUUCUUGCAUCGCAAUCCUAAAGCGUGGAUCGGUCUUGUGUUUUGGAAGUUUGGGAUCAGAUGUCUCUUUGGCUGCAGCCUUGCAGCCUGCAUUGGCAUCUGUGUUCGUUAGUCAUCCAUUUUCUUGGAUCCCUGUUCUGGGACUCGUUCCAUGCAUCCUCUGCAUCUUUAGGUCUUUAAACGGGGCUUCUUGCUCCUUCAUCCUCCCAGUUGCGGCUGUAUCUCUUUGUAAUGAGCCAUGAUCCUUCACUUUUCCAGGGCCCCCAUAGACUCUUCGUUGUAGCCCCAUACAGCGUCUUGCCUGAUGGCAUGUGUGGUCCAGGAAUCAUUCUUCCUACAGUGAGUUCUUUUGUCCCUGGUUCACGACAUCUGUCUUGUGUGUGGUGUUGUUCUUUGUGUGUUUUGUAUCUGGCUGGAGCUGCUUUGCCCGAUGCACGGAGGUGAUAAGAGUGAGCAGAGGUAGAAGGGCAAGAUUCUGUGGUUAAUGUGCUGAUAGGCAUACACCUUGCAGUCUGGGGGCGUACCAUUCUUUGCAGAAGAAGUAGCCCUAGGUGCAGUGGGUGAUGAGGAGAGUAGUUUCUGCUUGGCUCUGCAGCCACAGAGGGGAUGACCAAAAGUGUGUGGGAGAAUCCAGUGGAGCAGUACCGGAGCAGUUUAAAUUCAAAGGGAAUGGAACUUAAUGUUUGGGUUUGGUUGUGGAUUUGUUGUGCCUGGCUGUAGUGUGCGGUAGAGAUGGUACCGCUAAAUGGAAGCGAGAGGUCUGGAACCGUUAAGGCGUCACUGAGCAUCCGAGUGACUUCUUUGAUAUUGUUUUUCAGAUGCAGAGGGAUGACCUGUGUGCCAAAUGCCACUGAUGGACUUGUGGGUGGAGCGCCAUAGGGAGGCGAGUCGGCUGUGGUGUAGGUGGAGAGCAAGCCUCAACAUGGCAGCCUGAGAUGAUGGAUGCUGGGCAGGAGAGCGGUCAAGGUGCUACAUGCAGCCUCAGAGGGGUGGAGCUUCAUGCUGAGAAAUGGUUUGAGCGGUGCUGUGCGGGCUGCCUUUGCGAUGGGAAGAGCAGUUGAGGUGCCCCAGGUGAUGACGGCUGCUGCAUUGGAUGUUCGAAUUGGGACGGAACAGAUGAUAAUCAAGAGGAACCUGGCAAUGCAGGAUCGUCCCAGUUAGCUGACUCGUUUUGAGCUUUUUCUGCCAGGGAUGGCUUCAGGCCUUUGGCCCUCUGAAAGUUAAGUUGAGGGGGUUGUGUUUUGGGGUUGGGAAGAAGGCAGAAUGUUGAGAAUGGCAGAGAAGGAAUUUAGCACAUGGUAGAGGGCUGUGCUGGAAGAGUAACCUUUUGUGCAGGUAUAGGGAGGGGUUCAAUCCUCAGCGCAGAGCUAGCGUGUGCCAGGCAGGGUAGUUACAGCCUGUAUCUGUUGCUGUUUAGUCUAUGUAGUCUGUCUGCCAUGUAUAAAGUCUUCCACAGGUCUUGAUGUCAUCUUUGUGCUUAAGGCAUGUGCCACGUGCCUCGGGCAUCAUCUCUAGGGUCUUGAAUGUCUGUUCUCGGUAAGGUGCCAAUCGGGCACUGCUUUUCUUGCAUCGCCAUCUUAAAGCUUGGAUCGGUCUUGCGUUUUGGAAA